AGGGAGGAAGGGAGGGAGAGGAAGGAAUGCAAAAGAAGGAAGGAAUGUGAAAGAAGGAUGAAAGGUGGGCAGGUAGCAUAUCUGUAGAUAUUGUACAUAUCUUUGUAAGUUAUGUGCAAACUCAUUUGAAUGUAAAUAAAUUACAUUUAUGGGUUGUCAUGAUCUAGGGAGAUGGAUGCUCAUCAGAAGUAAUGGAGGUAAAAGGGAUAGUAGGUAGGGAGUAAGAGGGAACUUGGUAAUCACGCUGCAUAAUCUUAUCUGCCAACAAAAUCAACCAGCUUUACCUAGGUGGACAGGCCACCUUACUUCGGCCAGAAAAGGAAUGUGUAAUUUAGGUAUGUGAUAAUAAAUAGCCAAAUGCCUCAUCAUCCAGUUAGUGAUGUGCAUGAAUGGAUGAAUGAGAUUCCCACUGUCCCUACUUACUGUCCAGUGAAACCACAGCCAAGAGAACAGACUUGGUGGAACCAGCUGGGAAAGACGACCCUGUUGAGCAUCACUCUAAUCCAGUGCUGUGAAGAGACAUCAGAGCUGUAGAAUAAAUGAGAAGCCCCACGGUUGUGCAGCUCAGGCCAUAGUCCAGUUGCCAGUGAAAUACUGCUGAUCAUUUUUUCCACUUACCCAGUGAGGUGUAUGUGGAGGGGUAAGCCCCAAAGGGCUCUCACUUCUGAUGCCAAGUGCCCAGCAUGAGCUGCUCUGGUGACAGUGUCAGGUGGGGAGUUUGACUGGGGCAGUACGGCUGUCAAACCAUAACACAGGUGUCCUAAGGUGAGCUCAGGGAGGACAGAAACAUCCUGCGGUGCAGAAGAUCAAGGCUUGAUCUUGAUUUUCAGUACGAGUAUCGCCCAUGAAAGCAGGGCCUCACCAUCCUUCUGACUUUUUGGGUUUUAAGCAGGCAUUCAGGCGACAGUGGAUGAGGAACACCAGGCAUGAGUCUCCAUGUAUGGAACUUGGGCAUCUAGGAUGUUCUGCUCUGUCCCCC
rnacentral:ncRNA from 1 species